AUUGAACGCUGGCGGCGUGCCUAACACAUGCAAGUCGAGCGGUAACAGGUGUAGCAAUACAUGCUGACGAGCGGCGAACGGGUGAGUAAUGCUUCGGAAUCUACCCAAUGGUGGGGAAUAACCAGCCGAAAGGUUGGCUAAUACCGCAUACGUCCCACGGGAGAAAGCAGGGGAUCGCAAGACCUUGCGCCAAUGGAUGAGCCGAAGUCGGAUUAGCUAGUUGGAGGGUAACGGCCUACCAAGGCGACGAUCCGUAGCUGGUCUGAGAGGACGACCAGCCACACUGGGACUGAGACACGGCCCAGACUCCUACGGGAGGCAGCAGUGGGGAAUAUUGGACAAUGGGGGAAACCCUGAUCCAGCGACGCCGCGUGUGUGAAGAAGGUCUGCGGGUUGUAAAGCACUUUUAGUGGGGAUGAAAUGUUCAGGGUUAACACCUCUGGAUUUUGACCUAACCCACAGAAAAGCACCGGCUAACUCUGUGCCAGCCGCCGCAGUAAG
rnacentral:rRNA from 1 species